CAAGGUGCCGGAGCUGAACCACGUGGCCUGAAAGUAUUGAGGCGGUCAUAAAUCUGAAACGCCAGGGAGGCAUGUUUCAGUCUAUGCAGGAAAGGGUCAGGAAACAUUCAGCACCAUGUUCAUCAUGACAGGACUGCAGAUGGCAUACAGAGUUUGGCUCAAAUCCAGAGCUAAUUAGUAGGAUGUGAUUUUUACCAAAGCAUAAGCAGGAAGCUGACAUCUGCUGCAUAGUCUUCAUGGUUUCAAUCACUUUAUGAUCAGAAUGUAUUGCUGACAAGUUGUCUGCACAGUACCUGCAGGCUGCAUCUCUUCAACGACAGGAAAUCACUGCUCACCGGCAUCAGCGUCGCCAGGAAGUCCCUGAUCACAUUCACACCUGGAAGCUGCCCAGUACAACCACAGCCUGAUCUGCUGCUGUUGGGGUUAUGGGCCUUGCUCAAGGGCACCUCACUGGUGGUAAAUAAUGGAGGUGUGCGGGUGUGCUGGAGCUGAUGCUGGUAUCCAUUAUAGUGCACAACAUGGAUGGAUCAGGGUCUACAGAGUUGCAUGGUGCAGAACAACAGCCUCUUAGCAGAGUUACCAGAGACCCCAGGCAGUAAGGAAGUCACAACCGACCAGCCUGUGACCAACAGCAGCAGAACAGUCCUUAGCCUGUUUGUUUGGCUUCGCCACACAUAAGGAAGGAAAGUUGAGCACACCUAUCCACGGCCAGCCUAUACCCCUAUACCCAACUGACAGA